GACGAACGCUGGCGGCGUGCUUAACACAUGCAAGUCGAACGAAGAGCGACGGAAGCUUGCUUCUAUCAAUCUUAGUGGCGAACGGGUGAGUAACGCGUAAUCAACCUGCCCUUCAGAGGGGGACAACAGUUGGAAACGACUGCUAAUACCGCAUACGAUCUAACCUCGGCAUCGAGGAUAGAUGAAAGGUGGCCUCUACAUGUAAGCUAUCACUGAAGGAGGGGAUUGCGUCUGAUUAGCUAGUUGGAGGGGUAACGGCCCACCAAGGCGAUGAUCAGUAGCCGGUCUGAGAGGAUGAACGGCCACAUUGGGACUGAGACACGGCCCAGAAUCCUACGGGAGGCAGCAGUGGGGAAUCUUCCGCAAUGGACGAAAGUCUGACGGAGCAACGCCGCGUGAGUGAUGACGGCCUUCGGGUUGUAAAGCUCUGUUAAUCGGGACGAAAGGCCUUCUUGCGAAUAGUGAGAAGGAUUGACGGUACCGGAAUAGAAAGCCACGGCUAACUACGUG
rnacentral:rRNA from 1 species